rnacentral:lncRNA from 10 species
AUUCUGAAGGAGGGGCUUCAGGGCGCAUGCCCGGGCAGCUGCGCGAGUGAGGGGUGGAAAGAGGUGGCUUUUUACUCCGGGGAACGGUGGCGAGUGGGGGCUUUUGCCUCUCAAAAUACGAGCCCCUCACAACUACCCAUGCACCUGCCAAACCCGGCAAUUAAGCUUCUUACACAUCCAGCCCCGACAGGGGUCUACACUACAGAUAAUGCCCGGGUUCAAAUUCCGACUCCGGAUUCCCCACUCACUGGAUGCGUGACCUUGGAAAAAUGAUCAACCUCUUCAAGCUACACAAAGUUAAAUGGGGAUCGUCUUGCCUACCUCUUGACAGGAUACUUUAAGUAGGAUCGUAUCUAUAAGAACACAAUACCACACUCAAGCAAUGCUGGACAGUUGGACUUAAUUGUGGUUAAAGGCGGGAGUGAGGUGGGAGUGCGAUACCAACGGAAUCACAUCCCGGGCUCCAUUCCCUAAGCAGCUGUGUGACCUGCGGCAAGUGUUUUAAUCCCUUCUGGUCUGUUUCUCCUUUAAAAUGAGAGAAAAUAGCGCCUAGUUUACAGGAUUGUUUUUAAGGAUUAAAUUAAUUCA